rnacentral:rRNA from 1 species
GACGAACGCUGGCGGCGUGCUUAACACAUGCAAGUCGAACGGUAAGGCCCUUCGGGGUACACGAGUGGCGAACGGGUGAGUAACACGGGGGUGAUCUGCCCUGUACUUCGGGAUAAGCCUGGGAAACUCGGUCUAAUACCGGAUAGGACUCCGGACUGCAUGGUCUGGGGUGGAAAGCGUUUGCGGUGUGGGAUGGGCCCGCGGGCUAGCAGCUUGUUGGUGGGGUGAUGGACUACCAAGGCGACGACGGGUAGGCGGCCUGAGAGGGUGACCGGACACACUGGGAAUGAGAUACGGCCCAGACUCCUACGGGAGGCAGCAGUGGGGAAUAUUGCACAAUGGGCGCAAGCCUGAUGCAGCGACGCCGCGUGAGGGAUGACGGCCUUCGGGUUGUAAACCUCUUUCAGCAUCGACGAAGCGAAAGUGACGGUAGGUGCAGAAGAAGGACCGGCCAACUACGUGCCAGCAGCCGCAGUAA